CAGGGAUUGCCCCAGUAACGGCGAGUGAAGCGGCAACAGCUCAAAUUUGAAAUCUGGCGUCUUGGGCGUCCGAGUUGUAAUUUGUAGAGGGAGUCUCGGGUUAUGGGUCGGUCCAAGUGCCUUGGAACAGGAUACCGCAGAGGGUGAGAGUCCCGUAUCCGGCCGACGCCAGCGCCCGUGUGAGGCCCCUUCGACGAGUCGAGUUGUUUGGGAAUGCAGCUCUAAAUGGGUGGUAAAUUCCAUCUAAAGCUAAAUACCGGCCAGAGACCGAUAGCGCACAAGUAGAGUGAUCGAAAGAUGAAAAGCACUUUGAAAAGAGAGUCAAACAGUACGUGAAAUUGUUGAAAGGGAAGCGUAUGUGGGCAGACUUGACCGCGGGAUUCAGCCCGUCUUCUGGCGGGUGCACUUUCUCGCGGGCAGGCCAGCAUCGGUUCCGGAGGCCGGACAAAGACGUUGGGAAUGUGGCUCCUCUCGGGGAGUGUUAUAGCCCGGCGUGCAAUGCGGCCAUCUGGGACCGAGGACCGCGCUUCGGCAAGGAUGCUGGCGUAAUGGCCUCAUACGGCCCGUCUUGAAACACGGACCAAGGAGUCUAACAUCUAUGCGAGUGUUUGGGUGUCAAGCCCGGGCGCGCAAUGAAAGUGAACGGAGGUGGGAGUUUCGACGCACCAUCGACCGAUCCUGAUGUCUUCGGAAGGAUUUGAGUAAGAGCAUAGCUGUUGGGACCCGAAAGAUGGUGAACUAUGCGUGAAUAGGGUGAAGCCAGAGGAAACUCUGGUGGAGGCUCGCAGCGGUUCUGACGUGCAAAUCGAUCGUCAAAUUUGCGUAUAGGGGCGAAAGACUAAUCGA
rnacentral:rRNA from 1 species